rnacentral:rRNA from 1 species
GACGAACGCUGGCGGCGUGCUUAACACAUGCAAGUCGAACGGAAAGGCCUCAGCUUGCUGGGGUACUCGAGUGGCGAACGGGUGAGUAACACGUGGGUGAUCUGCCUUGCACUCUGGGAUAAGCUUGGGAAACUGGGUCUAAUACCGGAUAUGAACUACCUUUAGUGUGGUGGUUGGAAAGUUUUUUCGGUGCAAGAUGAGCUCGCGGCCUAUCAGCUUGUUGGUGGGGUAAUGGCCUACCAAGGCGUCGACGGGUAGCCGGCCUGAGAGGGUGUACGGCCACAUUGGGACUGAGAUACGGCCCAGACUCCUACGGGAGGCAGCAGUGGGGAAUAUUGCACAAUGGGCGGAAGCCUGAUGCAGCGACGCCGCGUGGGGGAUGACGGCCUUCGGGUUGUAAACUCCUUUCGACAGGGACGAAGCUUUUUGUGACGGUACCUGUAUAAGAAGCACCGGCUAACUACGUG